UACGUAGGGUGCGAGCGUUGUCCGGAAUUAUUGGGCGUAAAGGGCUCGUAGGCGGUCUGUCACGUCGGGAGUGAAAACUCGGGGCUUAACUCCGAGCCUGCUUCUGAUACGGGCAGACUAGAGGUAUGCAGGGGAGAAUGGAAUUCCUGGUGUAGCGGUGAAAUGCGCAGAUAUCAGGAGGAACACCGGUGGCGAAGGCGGUUCUCUGGGCCGAUACUGACGCUGAGGAGCGAAAGCGUGGGGAGCGAACAGG
rnacentral:rRNA from 1 species